GCUGAGUUGGGUAACGCCUGCUUGUGACCCGUGUGGGGGCAGUAAGGUGGUUGGACUUUGGGUCCACUCAUUGAAUCAGAUUUACAGUGGCUAUAAUCUGGCUUGCCCGUUCCAAGCAUUGAGAUGGGCUACGAGUCUUGAGCGAAAGCUUUGGGUCUCCUUGCUCCUAGAGUGGAAGGCAAAGCGUAAGGCUGGUUUCACAGAGCAGCGAAAACUUCCCUCUCUUUGCAGUGGAAGGAUAACGGGCCGGUGUCACUUGGAUCCUUCAUGGUUCCUUGGGUCUUCCCUAAACGGACAACCGCUUUU
rfam:Gossypium arboreum cultivar AKA8401 contig_6868_1, whole genome shotgun sequence.